CGAGAUCCCGCCACUGCACUCCAGCCUGGGCGACAGAGCGAGACUCCGUCUCAAAAAAAAAAAAAAAAGACAAAAAAAAAAGAAAUAAGAGCAAGAGAUACAUGGAGUCCUAAGAAAAUGACCCAGUCUCUCAAAGUAAGCAGUCUUUCUGGAGUUGAGUCCAGAAAGUAUCAUUUAUAUGGCAGAGUUUUUCAAAGUGAGAUCUGAGGACCACCUGCAUCAGUCUUGGGGUGCUUGGGUGCUUCCAUUUAAAAUGCUGAUUACUGGUUUCACUCCCAGGGGAGCGGGGUAUGAGUGUGGCAGCCUAUGUAGUUCAAAAAUAUUUGUUAUUCCUCCCUGGGAGAAAAUUAUAUCCCUCUGUCUACUGUCAGAUUUGGCCAUCGCAGACUUAGCUGUGAAUAUUUCAGCAUAUAUAUCUAAAAGAUAACUGUUUUAGAAAACAUAAUCAUGGCCAGGCGCGGUGGCUCAUGCCUAUAAUCCCAGCACUUUGGGAGGCCAAGGCGGGUGGAUCACGAGGUCAGGAGUUUGACACCAGCCUGGCCAACAUAGUGAAACCCCGUCUCUACUAAAAAUACAAAAAUUAGCCGGGCAUGGUGGUGUGCGCCUGUAGUCCCAGCUAUUCGGGAGGCUGAGGCAGGAGAAUGGCGUGAACCCGGGAGGUGGAGGUUGUGGUGAGCCAAGAUUGCGCCACUGCACUCCAUCCUGGGUGACAGUGAGACUCUGUUUCAAAACAACAACAAAAAAGAAAACCACUUUACCACUGUCACACCUAAACAACUUUGAUACAAACUUAUCAAAUAAAUAUUCAGUGUUUAAAUUCAGUUGUCUAAUUUUUUUCUCCCCCUGAUGGUUUGUUUGAAUUAGAGGUUGAUCCAUGCAGGCUUGACAUUCUCCUAUUAAAGGAAUCAACUGAAGAGGUGGCCGGCCACCCCACCUCUGUAGGCAGUUGGGCUGGGGAGUAUCUGUCGUUUACUUAUGGGACUUAAAGCGACUAACAAGAAAAGCUAGGGUACAAGGUCGUGUAAAUGAAAAGUUACAUGAAGGAAACCCAAGGGUGAGGGAUAAAAAGUGGAGUCUGGAAUGAGGCUUGAAGAGCCCGCCAUGACAUACACACCUACUUCAUGAGGCCACACGUUUAAGCUUUCCAAUAGUGAAUACAGAGAAGCCUGGUCAGAUACACCAUUCGCAGUGUCCUUAAGAUUAAAGUAAAUCCAGAUACAGAAAGGACAGUUAUUCCCCACGGUGGCAUAUGCCUGUUGUCCUAGGUAUUUGGAGGGCUGAGGCGGGAGGGUGGCUUGAGCCAGAAAGGACGAGGCUGUAGUAAGCUGUGAUUGCACCACUGCCCUCCAGCCUGGGUGAUAGAGUGAGACCCUAUCUCAAAAACAACAAAAU
rnacentral:lncRNA from 10 species